GAUGUGGCGUAGUGGUAGUGCGACCGCAUGCGACGCAGAAGGUUCUGGGUUCGAAUCUCAGUAGGUCA